rnacentral:sRNA from 1 species
CCAUCAUAUUUACCCAUUUUAAUAACACAACAUAGGUAAGAAACCUAAAUCGCACGGUAGGAUUGCACAAAUGACAAUGACUCCUUGUAACUCUUUUUUAAAAGCCUAAAAGUGGUGAUGCCAAAUCUUCGAGUAAAUCAAAGCGAUCUCAGGGUCCUGUCCAUAUUACAGCAGGAAGUGAACCUGUCCCCAUUGGAGAGGAUGAGGAUGAUGAUCUGGACCAGGAGACAUUCAGCAUAUGUAAGGAGAGGAUGAGGCCCGUGAAAAAGGCACUGAAACAGCUCGACAAACCUGACAAGGGGCUCAACGUGCAAGAACAGCUGGAACACACCCGGAACUGCCUGCUGAAAAUCGGAGACCGGAUAGCCGAGUGCCUUAAAGCCUACUCAGAUCAGGAGCACAUCAAACUCUGGAGGAGGUAACCACUUUGGCCUCGUCUGCCCAGUUUGAUU